AUGUUAACAUAUCUUGAAACAUUUUUAGGAGAAUCUGUAAAAGUUCUAUGGGAACAAUGGGUAGAGUCAUACCCUAGUCAAUAUGAAGAAUUAAAAAGGGCAGGAAGUAACCCUAAUAACUUUGCGAAUGUUAUGUCAAAUAUGAUCAUAGCAGAAGAUCCAGAAUUAGGACAUACUUCAUUACAAAAUGAAAGGUUAAGAGAAAUAGAAAAAUUAACAUUAACAAGCUGGACAGGUAUAAAAGAAUUUUCCCAGCAUUAUUUGUAUAAUGCUACUACUGCUAAACAAGGUUUUAAUGUAGGUGUAGUAGAAAGAUAUUUUAAUAAGUUGCCUGAUCCUCUAGGUUCCAUAAUAUUUGAGGAGUAUAGAAAAGAAACAGGAGGAAAUGUGGUAAAUAUAUCCCAAUCCAUAACAUUUGUUUUCAAACAAUUAAGAAAGGUGUGUACUAGCAUUCAAGCCGAAAGAUCUAUGAAGAAAUCAGAUUACAAUUUUUGCAAUAACAUUGUCCAAAUACCACUAACAUAUGGAGAAGAAAGAUAUAUUGUUCAAUUACCAUUCAAAGAAGUGUUAGGAAUAAGGAUCCCAGUUAGGAUUGUUCUAAAGCCAAAUAUUUCACAUAAAAUACUGGCACUAUUAGAUACUGGUUGCACUAAGAAUAUCAUCCAUGAUAAAUAUUUUAUGAGGUGUCCCGAAAUAGUUGAAACUAUAGAUGAUAAUAAAGCUGAAGUGUCUACUGAUAUGUCAGGAAUAAAGAAGAUCCAUAAUCAGCUAGCAUAUAAUAUUGAAGCUUACAUAAAUUGCACAAAAUAUAUAAUAGAUGAAAUUACAAUAAGAGAUUUGUCAGUAAUAAAUGAUGACAUGAUAAUAGGGUUAAGAAUUUUACAACAAUCUUUACAAACCACAAUCAUACAUGAAGAAGGGGUAACAUUUAUUCCUUUUCAAGAUAAUGUUCCAUAA
rnacentral:rRNA from 1 species